rnacentral:rRNA from 1 species
UACGUAGGCAGCAAGCGUUGUUCGGAGUUACUGGGCGUAAAGGGUGUGUAGGCGGUUCCCUAAGUUUGGUGUGAAAUCUCCCGGCUAAACCGGGAGGGUGCGCCGAAAACUGGCGAUCUAGAGUGCGGUAGAGGGUAGUGGAAUUCCCGGUGUAGCAGUGAAAUGCGUAGAGAUCGGGAGGAACACCGGUGGCGAAGGCGGGUCUCUGGGCAACUCCUGACGCUGAGGCGCGAAAGCGUGGGGAGCAAACGGG